rnacentral:rRNA from 1 species
CCUACGGGUGGCAGCAGUGGGGAAUAUUGGGCAAUGGGCGCAAGCCUGACCCAGCCACGCAGCGUGAAGGAUGACUGCCCUCCGGGUGGUAAACUUCUUUUAUAGGGGAGUAAAGUGAGGCACGUGUACCUUUUUGCAUGUACUUUAUGAAUAAGGAUCGGCUAACUCCGUGCCAGCAGCCGAGGUAAUACGGAGGAUCCGAGCGUUAUCCGGAUUUAUUGGGUGUAAAGGGAGCGUAGAUGGGUUGUUAAGUCAGUUGUGAAAGUUUGCGGCUCAACCGUAAAAUUGCAAUUGAUACUGGCAGUCUUGAGUGCAGUUGAGGUAGGCGGAAUUCGUGGUGUAGCGGUGAAAUGCGUAGAUAUCACGAAGAACACCGAUUGCGAAGGCAGCUUACUAGACUGUAACUGACACUGAGGCUCGAAAGCGUGGGGAGCAAACAGGAUUAGAUACCCCAGUAGUC